UGGGGAAUAUUGCACAAUGGGCGCAAGCCUGAUGCAGCCAUGCCGCGUGUAUGAAGAAGGCCUUCGGGUUGUAAAGUACUUUCAGUCGGGAGGAAGGUGGUAAGGUUAAUAACCUUAUCAAUUGACGUUACCGACAGAAGUAGCACCGGCUAACUCCGUGCCAGCAGCCGCGGUAAUACGGAGGGUGCAAGCGUUAAUCGGAAUUACUGGGCGUAAAGCGCACGCAGGCGGUCUGUCAAGUCGGAUGUGAAAUCCCCGGGCUUAACCUGGGAACUGCAUUCGAAACUGGCAGGCUAGUGUCUUGUAGAGGGGAGUAGAAUUCCAGGUGUAGCGGUGAAAUGCGUAGAGAUCUGGAGGAAUACCGGUGGCGAAGGCGGCCCCCUGGACAAAGACUGACGCUCAGGUGCGAAAGCGUGGGGAGCAAACAGG
rnacentral:rRNA from 1 species